AUGGCGGCGCCUCUCGGGCGGGACACCUUACCUGAACACUGGUCUUACGGUGUCUGCGGGGACGGCAGGGUCUUCUUCAUCAACGACCAGACGCAGGCUACUACCUGGCUCCAUCCCCGCUCCGGUGAACCCGUAAACUCCGGACACAUGAUCCGCUCAGACCUACCUCGGGGGUGGGAGGAAGGCUUUACAGACGAAGGGGCCAGUUUCUUCAUAAAUCAUAACCAGAGGACCACGACGUUUCACCAUCCUGUGACCGGACAGCUUUCUCCAGAGAACGUGGAUUUUAUCCUGCACGAACAGCCGCAGGGUGCUCGCAUGAUGUCCAAACACGCAGGUGAGCAGCUCUCCAGCACCACCGUCAGCGAGGCCUCCACUGCCGUCACCUCCUCCACUGUGGACAGCACCUCUGCCUCCAAGGGCUCCCGGUCCAGUGGCAAGGUGCACAGCUUUGGGAAGAGAGAACAGGCCAUUAAAAGAAAUCCAAAUGUCCCUGUGGUGGUCCGAGGAUGGCUGUACAAACAGGACAGUUCUGGGAUGCGUCUUUGGAAGAGGAAGUGGUUCGUCUUGGCUGAUUUCUGUCUCUUCUACUACAAAGACAGCAGAGAGGAAUUGGUCCUAGGCAGUAUUCCUUUGCCCAGCUAUGUCAUUUCACCCGUGGGACCUGAGGACCACAUCAGCCGCAAGUAUGCCUUUAAGGCUAGCCACACUGGUAUGCGCUCGUACAUUUACAAGCAGAGCUCUGUGAUUGGCUCGCAGGCGGAGCACAGUGGGAUGCGGACGUAUUACUUCAGCGCUGACACCCAGGAGGACAUGAACACCUGGCUGAGGGCCAUGAACCAUGCCACACUGAUGCAGAACCACUCUGACACUCUCAUCAGACCAUCUGACAAGUUAGAGAAGUUCAGUAUUUUGCAGCAGAAUGCUGUCCCGCAGAUGAACCAUGUAAACCACCAUAAGACCAAGACCCCAGACUCUGAGACCACGAAACCCAUCGUCCACGAGGUUCUCCUGGAGCCCAUACACCGCGAGACAGACGAGCGCUGCAGCUUCCACAAAGAAUCUCCUGCCACGACCAUGUUGGAGCACGCCAUUGGAAGUACAGCCCUGGAAAUGGACACACACACUUCCCUCCCCUCCAACCCUGCACCCUCUGCCCUCCCACAGUCAGACAACGUGUCGGCCUCAGCACCCGUGUCCAGGGUUCCAUCCCGGGCACCUUCACGAGCCGCCUCAACACUGCCCUCCAGCAUUUGCACGAGAAACGGCCUCGUUUCCACGCCCAGCCCCAUCCUGGAGCCCAAUGGGAUCGCUGCAGGGACGUACCAGAGGGCCCCAGUGGUGGCCCCUGCUGACACACACAAACAUGUGCAGAGGAAGAGCACUCUGGAGCAAGUGGAGCAGUGGGUCCAAGUGCAGAAGGCUGAGCACAAAGGCCCCCCAUCCAGAGAGAAUACUCUCCCUCGCCGCACACCACCAACCCAGCACAAGUUCACCUCCAUGGACGCAUACCAGACCUUGCCAAAGACUCCUCGCCAGAGCCCCACGCCUGCCCGACUUGGCGAGUACAAGUACGCCCAGGACCGCCUAAGCCACUUCCGCCUCACCCCUGAGCAGGGUGGCCAAGGGUCCAACACCGUCUGGCAGCUGUACGAGUGGCAGCAGCGCCACCAGUUCCGUCACGGCAGCCCCACAGCUCCACUCUACACUCCGGCCCCAGAGUACCCAUUUGGCCCCCGCCCCCCAUCCACUGUGCCUCCCUCCUCCUCAGCACCCAGGUCCGAAGGGCCGCCCCGCUGUGUGUCUGUACCACCUUCAUCUGCAGACAUCCCACCACCGGGGCCUCCACCCGGCACCAGCAGAACCCUGUCGCCCACGCGGAGGCCACACACGCCAGCUGAACGGGUGACAGUCAGGCCUGUGGGAGAUAGUUCAGUGGUAGACAUCCCCUUCUCUGUUUCCCCGCGUAGGACCAAAUCUCAGCUGCUCAAGGCUGCUACUAUUGAGAGACGGUCAAUGCCUCCAUCUGGUUACAUCACACACACAGUCAGUGCACCCAGCCUACAUGGCAAAACGGCUGAUGACACCUACAUGCAGCUGAAGAAGGACUUGGAGUAUCUGGAUCUAAAGGUAGUUGGAAGUCAGACACUGAAGGAGUCAGGGAAACCUGUCAAGGUUGCAGAAAGUGAUGUGGAUGUGAAGUUAAGUCGGCUGUGUGAGCAGGACAAGAUCCUCAAGGAUCUGGAGGCGAGGAUCAGCUCCCUGAAGGAGGACAAGGACAAGCUGGAGAGUGUACUGGAUCUGUCCCACCAGCAGAUGGAGCAGUACCAGGAGCAGCCGACCCACGCCCACAAGAUCGCCUACCAGCAGAGGCUGCUGCAGGAAGAUCUGGUCACCAUCAGGGCGCAAAUAUCACGCCUCUCCACGGAGAUGGCACAUGCCUGGGAGGAGUACAGCUGUCUGGAGAGAUCAGUGGAGCAGUUGAGGACAGCACUGCAGACACAUAUGAACCACAGCGCCACCCCUCAGCAAGAGAAAAGUGAGAUGAAGCGUGAGCUGUGGAGGAUUGAGGACGUGAUGGCUGGGUUGAGUGCCAGCAAAGCCAACUACAAGAUCACCAUUGACUCUGUCCAGAACCCAGAGAGGAAAUUAGUGCCUUCUGUGUCAGACCCGGCAGUGCCUUCUCAAGUCCAGCCUCCUCCUCGCAGCUCCAUCCCCAGCAUCUUCUCCCACACUUUGCCUCACAGCACCAUGCCAAAGUGGGCAGAGGAUGCAGCCCCACCCAGGCCACCACUGCCUCGCCUCUACGACUACGAGGAGACGCCCCCUGUGGUACCACCUCUCCCAAAAGAAGCCUCGGUCAUCCGGCACACGUCUGUGCGUGGGCUCAAACGCCAGUCAGAUGAGAGGAAGAGGGACAGGGAGAGCGUGCAGUAUGUCGUCAACGGAGACUGUAAGACUGACUUGCGAUCAUACCUGAGUGAACCAGAGCUGCCAGGAAUAAUCCACCACAGCGCCGGGUCUGACAUUGACUACCAGUAUUUCCAGACCAAAGGUCUGUUAGGCCCCUCAUCUCGACAGAACCAGUCCACCUCUAUCUCGUCGUAUGUCACCCUGAGGAGAGGCCCCAGAAGCUCCGCAGCUGGGGAGAGACCCAAGAGUGCCUUGGAACGUCUGUCAUCGCCUACAGAAGCCCUGCAGCUCCCGAGCAGCCAGCCUCGUGGCCGAAUGACUGCAGAGGAGCAGCUGGAGCGGAUGAAGCGCCACCAGAAGGCGCUAGUUCGCGAGCGCAAGAGGAACCUCAGCCAGGGUGAACGCUCCUCCACCUCCACUGUCACCACCCAGCGCUCCUCCUCCUCCUCCAGGCUGCCGUCCAACACCUCGGAUCCUUCGGCCUCCGUACGUUACCCCCCACUGCCGCGCAGCAGCAGCAGCAGACACAGGGAGCACCACCUUCACCACCACUGCUGCUAUGCCACCCUCCAGCCCCCAGCCACAUAAUAACCCAGCAGGAAUGCUAACAUGCUAGUACUUUCUGCCUUGUGUAACCAGUGGUUGUUGACGUUAGCUGUAAGCACUAACAAGCUAAAGGGCAGGACUGACUGUGGCUGACUAGCUAGCUUGGUUAAUGCUUUAAGAACAAUGGGAGACAAAAUGAGCACAGGGGAUCGUGGGGAAUGCUUGGCUAGUUCUGGACAGGGACAGUGUCCCUCCCUGUUUAUUUUAUUUUUUUAAAGGUUUAGGGGUCACUUUAACCCCUUUGUUACCACUGCCCACUGGUGGGACCUCACUGACACAAUUCUGAAUGUAAAUCCAUUGAGAAAAGAAGGAAAUGGAAGGCAUCACUCUGCCUUCCUUUCUGUGUUUUUUCACCAGAAAGUACAGAGAAGAGCCCAUUUAUGUAUAUCUACAUACUGUGUACUUGUACACUUUUAUUUAUUUACUGAGGGAUAUUUUCAGUAUACAGUUGUACAGUUAUAUUUUGUAGAGAUUUGGUAUAUAGAGCUUAUAGAAGGGUGGGGGAAAUGGGGUUGGGAAAAGUAUUCAGGUUGAUGAAAUGAAGAAAGAGACAAUGUUAGUGGCAAAAAUCAUGAUCACCUCCCUUCUUUCUUUUCUUCUAAUGAAGUCCGAGUGCCUUGUUUUGCUGACGAUCAUUUUUGCCUUUGUCCCAAAUUUACCUCCUUUAAUCAACAUUUGAAUUAAUAAUGAUUUGUUUCGAACAUGCUUCUCCACCUCAGAAUCAUAGAAAGGAAUGCAGGAGCUAGCUUUAAGGUUGCUUUUCUGUGUAAUCACGAAUUUCAUUCAGGAAGACGUGGAACUGGGGACACAGCUGGUUUUAACCCCCAAAGGAAAACUUUGACAUUUGACAUUUUAACUAAAUCUAGCUUACUCCUUGGCUUUAGUGAGGAAUGCUAACAAUGCUAACAUGCCUGGGUGAAAAACGUAAUACAGUAAAAUUCAAAAUGUCAAAGUCUUCCAUUAAGAUAACAUGAUCUAUAAUAACUACCCGUUUGGUAUUAUGAUUACAGACUAACACACUCGUAACCAGACUGCUGUGAGAUACGCCUGUAAUCAGACUACAUUUCCUAUAAAUCUUUGAAAUCACAUUUUUAACAGUGAGCAAUACAUAGUCUGUAAUCCUCUGCUACUACUUCUCACCUUUUUAGUGCAUAUAACCAUAAAUGCCAGAACAUAUUUUAUUUUAUCUACUCCACCAGCAUAAAACGUGUUUACACCAUUUUAUAUUUGAAUUAACGUCCUCAUUAAUGCAGCCUUUUUCUUGUACAGACUACAAGGAUAUUUUUAUUGUGAAAGUUUUAUCGAAAGUGGCUGACAGUUUCAUUGCCACGAUUAAAGUUGGGAAGAGAAUUUGUACUCAUAUCUGAGUACUUUUAAGUGGCCUAUGCUGUGCUGAUUUAUGCAUCAUAAAUAUACAGGACAGUUCAAGCAACUGGGCUGAAAUGCAAUAGAAAAAUAGAAGUGUGAACAAGGAGCGGACACCUUUGUCAUGGGAAAUCUGUGAUGAAAGGAACAGUGACAAUAUUUGAAAGUGUGUUAAAAAGAUGUAGGGUGAUGAUUUUCUGUCAACGUGUCAUCUUUUGGCUAACAGUUUCUGAGUUACCAAGAUGAGGUCUUUGAAAUUGUUUCAGACCAAUAGUUCCAACCUAGAGAUUUACAAUGAUAUAAAACAGAAAAGCAGAUAAAAUAUCUGUUGGGCAGUUUUUGUUUGACAAUUGAAACAAUAACUAAGCUAUUGAUUUACUUACUGUUGACAAAUUAAACAAUCUUUGCAGCCCUACACAUGUAGAAGAUACUUCUAUUAAUGUGGUAGUCAUACUCAACAUACAGUUUUGGAUCACCAUGGCGCUGCUGUCGGCUCCUUGUUUUUCUGACGAGUAUUAAUCUUGAAGCUUUUUUGCCAUAUCGCUUUUAUCCCUUCACAGCUACGUACAAUAUAUCAGAUCAAAGAGAAAACAGUUACAGGAGGUUGCUCAGAAGAGUAGAAAUAUAGUAGUGAACUGCUAAUCAACACUUAAUUCUAUGUAAUUGUGAAGCAACGCAUAACUCUCUUACCUUUUCUUUUCUAUCAUGUAGAGAUUUGCACUCGACAAUAAAGAGUUUCUUGCUUCUGAAACUCCUCUUGGCUGUGUUCUUCCUAAUCUUGUGGGUGUUUGAUGAAUCUGUGUCUGCAUGGUGUUCUUUCUCUCUAUCCUUUUGUGUGCAAUUGAUUCUCCUGAGCACAACAAGGCAUGGGAUGCAGUGUUUCUAAGAGCAUGUGAACACACCAGCAGAUCACACCCGCUGCAGGCUACUGGAGUGGGAAGGAUGCAUGCAUGGCUUUGAUGCUCCUUGGAUGAUUACUCACAAGUGUUUGAUUGGCAGGAGGAGCGACUUGGGGCAGAGGGUCAGAGCGAUGAAGGGAAGCAUCAAGUGAAAGAGCGAGGGAGGAUCCAAUCAGAUGAGUGGGUGACGGCGACAGCCACGCGCAUACGAGAGGUGGAUGUAGA